ACUGUCUCUUGUAGCUAACCAAUGAAACUGAUCUUGUAGUUCAAAAGCUACAAUAUAACCACCAGACGAGAAGACCCUGUGGAGCUUUAAACCAAAACCAAAUUAAUGACCCCCUGGUUUUUAGUUGGGGCAACUUCGGAGUACACAACAACCUCCGAUAAAAAAAGUUAAGACAGACAGGUCUAAACAACUUGCUCGACCCAAUACUCUACUUUAGAUUAUUUGACCAAUGAACCAAGUUACCCCAGGGAUAACAGCGCUAUCCCCUUUUAGAGUCCCUAUCGACAAGGGGGCUUACGACCUCGAUGUUGGAUCAGGACACCC
rnacentral:rRNA from 1 species